CUGAGGAGGCAAGAAAAUUGCUUUUGGAGGCUGUAGGCCGCUACUGAACAGCCAGUGGCAGCCUUUUUAUGUCGGAUCCUUUAUCCUUUUGAAUAUCCACCAGGCACGUAAGAUGCUCUGUGCUUAUUUCAUGCUUUUCAACAUGGGUGAACUGGAGGGCAUCCUAUUAGGAGAUACAUGUCAGGCACAGAAAGAGAAAUACUGCAUGAUCUCACUUGUAUGCGAUGUCGUAAAGAUCAAUCUAAAAACAUUACACAGUGAAAAGGUGGUUACCGAGGGUGAGUGGAGGAAAUGAGAGGAUGUAGGUCAAGGGGUUCAAAGCUGCAGUUCUAUAGGAUGAAGAACUAGGUUACAAUGCCCAUGGGUUUGUAGUUUGUAUUGUAUACCGGUAAUUUGUUGUGAGAGUAGAUUUUAGGUCCUCUUACCAUGAGGGAAAGAAAGCGGGGAGGGAGGGAGAGAGAGAAAGACAAAGAACUACAACCUGAGAUGAUAACAAUGUUAAUUUGCUUAAGUAUAGUAAUCAAUAGCAUAUGGAUAUCAAAACAUGUAUGCCUUAAGUAUAUACAACAAAUAUUUAUUAAAACACAAAUUUGUACCCUAGAAUCAGGCAUUUCUCCAUGGAGUUUGGUGGAAAAUGGAAAUGAAAAGCCAAUAUCUUAUUAUAAGUUGUGUUAUUGCUUUAAUCCCUCUCAGCACAGUUAGAAAAUCAUAUCCACAGGUCACUUGGGUUCCUGUUAUAGUUCAUAUAAUUGCUGUAUACAUUUGUUCACACAAAAGAAAACACAGUCAGUAGUUUUAUAACUGAUAAAUGAUAGCACUGUGUAAAGCAAGCUUACUCAUUAGCAUUUCAUAUUUGUUUGAAGUCCUGUGUUUGGUUGCUGAGGUAAAAUUAAUUUUUGAAAUGAAAAUAUAAAGAAGUGAAUUUAUUUUAGUAUAUGUGCUGCUGAAGCGAGCGCAGGAAAUGAAUAUAAUAGCAUGAAAUUUUUUUCUAAUUUCACUAUUGGCAAAACUAGAUCAUUCCAGAAAAGUAAUAAGGUCAAAAAGAACACCAAGAAAAACAGUAGACAGUGCUCUGUGGGGCUUCUCAUCCGAUCAGGGACAGAAUAAACCCUCAAGGAACAGUAUUAUAAUGUCCAACGAGUUCAGCCUGUUUGCGCAGCGCCCCCAGGCUUUCCUGCAGCAUUCCCUGUUGGGUGCAGACGGAACAAUCCAGAAAGGGGCCCAAGUGAGAAAGACUAUGGGAUCUGCUCCUCUCUGUCCAGUCCAGACAUCCGUAACAGGCAGGCAUGAUCGCCACAGUAGUUACUGUACACAGAAGCCCACAGGAAAAGCGAUGUGGCUUGCGUGCUGUUAAAGCCCGUUUACACACUCAGCAGUAGUUUAGACCACCUGCUAUAUGCUAAUUAUCCUCAGGGGACUGACUGAGACAGUUCAGUCUUUUUAACUUUGAAAUCAUUGUUUAAUUGUUUCAUAAAGGCAUAAACAUUGUGCAUAUUAAUAGGGUAAUAUACCGUUUCAGUAUACCUUUUAUAUGUUGAGUAAUGCUGAGUUAAAAUUUAUAAACCUUAAAGUACAACUCGUAAGUAUCUAAUUCAAUGAAUUUUGUCAAACGCAUCAUAACAGUUACCAUCCUAUUUGCAAGAUUUUUAUUACCCCCCAAUUUUUCUCAUGCCCAUUUCCACUUGUUGCUCCUGUUCUACAGGCAACUAUUUUCAUUUUUUUACUGUAGAUUAGUUUGGUCUAUUCUAGAACUUCAUGGAAAUUGAAUUAUCUACUAUGUACUUUUUGCACUAUUUGAUUUCUUUUGCUCACCAUGAUAUCUAUGAAAUUCUGUUUUUGCAUAUAUCAGUCACGGGUUUUUUGUUUUUGGUUGGGUACUGUAUUGGAUGAAUAUUCCUCACUUUGUUUAUACCUUCUGUUUUUGACAGGUAUUUGGAUUAUAUCUGUGUUUUCUUCUAAAAACUCUUCAAAUUUUAUCUAGUAUGUUGUAUCUUCAAUCUAUUUUGAAUUAAUUUUCAUGUAUAUUGAAUUGGUUCAUUUUUUUCUUUUCCAGUAAAUAUAUAAUUCUUCCAGUCACAUUUAUUGACUUGACUUUCUCCCCUAAAUGUUUUAUCAAAAAUCAAUUGGUUAUAAACAUGUAGUACUAUUUUUGGACUUAAUUCAGUUUCAUUGAUACCUUUGUUAAUCAUUAUGCUAUGAAUACAAUGUUUUGAUUCUUCUAGUUGUGUACAUACUAAAGAAAAGUACUAUAAGUCUUCUUUAUCUUUUCAAGAUUGUUUUGGAUAGUCUAGCCCCUUUGCAUUUUCGUGUACAUUUUAGAGUUAACCUGUCAAUUUUCUAUGAAAAAUCCUGCUAGGAUUACAGUUGGGACAGGUGGGAAUACAGAGAUAAAUUUGGGGUACACUGACACUUUAACAAUGUAGGCACAACUCUAUUUAGGUCUUAGUUAAUUUGUCUCAGCAAUGACUUCUAACUUUUUAGUGUAAAGGGCUUCCCUGUCUCUUGUUACAUUUAUUCCUUGGUACUUAAUUUUGAUACCUUUGUAAGUAAGUGUGAAAAUUUAUUUUACAAGUGUUUGCUGGCAAUAUGUAGAAAUGUAGUUGAUUUUCUAUUGCUACCUUGUGUCCUGUAUUGUUUCUAAAAUUACUUAUUUUGGCAGUUGCUUCAUAGAUUUGUUAGCAUUUGACAGAUAAGUAAUGAUGUUGUCUGGUAGUUUAAUUUCUUUCUUUCAGACUUCUGCUUCUGAUUAUGAUGGUAUAACUAGGAUCGAGUUGACUCAUGGUGUGCAAUUAGGAAACUGGAAAAAUACAUGAAAUACUGGUAUUUUGAACUGGAAAACAAGCAGUGCAGGACAUGAUUUCUGAGAGAAGGCAAAUAACAAGAGAGAAUAUCCAGAGUGCAGUGCAGGAAGAGGGCAUCCCAACAGAGCCAGUCUAUUUUACUGAUGUUGGAAAAGAGAAUUUGGAGUCUGAGAAGAUUAAGGCAUCUAGAAUUUGUUGGUCAGAGUGCUGAAGAGAAGAGAAACGCACACAGCAAGCCUUAGGUCUUGCUAUGCAGUCAGGCUGGGCUGAACUCAUGAUCC